UUAAUCCAGGGGCUCUCUGGUGCUCUUUCCUUCACCUCUACCCUUCAUCUGCUAAUUCUUGGUCUUCUGUGCAAUGAUCUUACUGGAAUGCAAUAAAGCAAGGGUCCUUUUAUGUCAGGGAAAGGAUGGUAAAGCCAACAUUGUAUGUUACUAAACCAUAUUUACUUUCUUCUUUAGUAAUAAUUCCUCUAUAAUGGUGAAGGUUUAGCCAGCUACAUGAUUUGAAUAUUAGCAGAAGAUUCAGUAAAUAUAUCAUAGCAGAAGUUAUCAGGUAUAUAAAAACUAACUUUUUUUCUGAAGAAUGUGCAUAAUUUGCCAAUCACAAGGGUCAUUGUCUGCAGAAGGCUCAGUAGAAAUACUUUGCCCUCUUUAUAAUUCAAAAACAAAUUUCUCUCUUAUGCGAGAUUAAGUUCUUUUUUAGUCAUUGCUAACUUAUUAGGGCACAAAGAAAGCAUGCUCAGUGGUAGUUCUUCCCCCAUUGCUCUAUCAGCUCUGGCUUCAGCUGUUUAAGCUGUGUGCAUCAUCAUCCAAUUAGCAUGGUCUUUAUUUCAUCUGACCAGAAAUUUCUCUGGCAGCACAGCUGUGCUGAUGGCAGUCUGCAAAUUUUCACGUGCAUCUGGCAUAUACCCUCACCCAGAAUUCAUGUCUUCUGGUCUUCAUCAUCCACUAAAUGAAUCUGCUUCUCACAGUACUCUGUCCAUUUGCAUGGACAAUGACCUGUUGCAAUGAGAUGACAUCCAUAGCUUCCAAAGCUGGAGUUUCUCCCACCUCAUUCCCAAACUCUUUCUUUCCCACUCUUAAAACUUGUUUGUGUGAGAGCUGUUGAUAGAGAAAGAAGCAAAUAAUCUUGGUAGACUUUGCUGAAUGCCAGGGCAUGAAGUUAAGCACAAGCAAGUUAUCAAACAUUUAGUAGGAAGUCUUCAAUCCCUGAAGUCAACAUGUUUUAUUGUAAAGGUAUAAGGUCAGGGAUAUACAAGACAGAGGGACAUAAGGACAGUGGCACACCAAUUCCUCAUACGUGGGUUGCUGAUGCAUCACAGUUUUCUGCAUCAUAACUAAGUUUCAAUGCACAAGCAAAUCCUCUUUUCUUUAUGAACGUUUUCAAAUAAUCCUUGCUAAACACGAACAAUUGACAAACCUUCCUACAGCAGGCCAUUUAUGUC
rnacentral:lncRNA from 1 species